GAAUGGGGAAACCCAGUGUGACUCGUCACACUAUCAUUAACUGAAUCCAUAGGUUAAUGAGGCGAACCGGGGGAACUGAAACAUCUAAGUACCCCGAGGAAAAGAAAUCAACCGAGAUUCCCCCAGUAGCGGCGAGCGAACGGGGAGGAGCCCAGAGCCUGAAUCAGCAUGUGUGUUAGUGGAAGCGUCUGGAAAGGCGCGCGAUACAGGGUGACAGCCCCGUACACAAAAGCGCAUGUGCUGUGAGCUCGAUGAGUAGGGCGGGACACGUGGUAUCCUGUCUGAAUAUGGGGGGACCAUCCUCCAAGGCUAAAUACUCCUGACUGACCGAUAGUGAACCAGUACCGUGAGGGAAAGGCGAAAAGAACCCCGGCGAGGGGAGUGAAAAAGAACCUGAAACCGUGUACGUACAAGCAGUGGGAGCACCCUUUUGGGUGUGACUGCGUACCUUUUGUAUAAUGGGUCAGCGACUUAUAUUCUGUAGCAAGGUUAACCGAAUAGGGGAGCCGUAGGGAAACCGAGUCUUAAUUGGGCGUUAAGUUGCAGGGUAUAGACCCGAAACCCGGUGAUCUAGCCAUGGGCAGGUUGAAGGUUGGGUAACACUAACUGGAGGACCGAACCGACUAAUGUUGAAAAAUUAGCGGAUGACCUGUGGCUGGGGGUGAAAGGCCAAUCAAACCGGGAGAUAGCUGGUUCUCCCCGAAAGCUAUUUAGGUAGCGCCUCGUGAAUUCAUCUCCGGGGGUAGAGCACUGUUUCGGCUAGGGGGCCAUCCCGGCUUACCAACCCGAUGCAAACUGCGAAUACCGGAGAAUGUUAUCACGGGAGACACACGGCGGGUGCUAACGUCCGUCGUGAAGAGGGAAACAACCCAGACCGCCAGCUAAGGUCCCAAAGUCAUGGUUAAGUGGGAAACGAUGUGGGAAGGCCCAGACAGCCAGGAUGUUGGCUUAGAAGCAGCCAUCAUUUAAAGAAAGCGUAAUAGCUCACUGGUCGAGUCGGCCUGCGCGGAAGAUGUAACGGGGCUAAACCAUGCACCGAAGCUGCGGCAGCGACACUAUGUGUUGUUGGGUAGGGGAGCGUUCUGUAAGCCUGUGAAGGUGUGCUGUGAGGCAUGCUGGAGGUAUCAGAAGUGCGAAUGCUGACAUAAGUAACGAUAAAGCGGGUGAAAAGCCCGCUCGCCGGAAGACCAAGGGUUCCUGUCCAACGUUAAUCGGGGCAGGGUGAGUCGACCCCUAAGGCGAGGCCGAAAGGCGUAGUCGAUGGGAAACGGGUUAAUAUUCCCGUACUUGGUGUUACUGCGAAGGGGGGACGGAGAAGGCUAUGUUGGCCGGGCGACGGUUGUCCCGGUUUAAGCGUGUAGG
rnacentral:rRNA from 1 species